AUGCAAGCCUCGAUGUCUUUGUUCUGCGGCUGCCCUUGUUGUAAGCACACCCCGUCCCUGGCUGGGGCUUUGUGCAGCCAGCACAAUGGGAGCCGUCGAUAGGCCCAGCGAUAAGUCCUGGAGAGGGGGCUGGGCGCCACAGGAGCCCUGCAAAGGGACAGGGCGUCUGCACGCACGGGCAGCCACAGGCGUCCCGCCCAGAGGACAGUUCGCGGCAGGGAAUGGAACAAACCCUGGAAGAAACAACAGCUGAGAAGCUAUGGAAGGUCACUCGUUCUGUGUAUUCAAAAGAUUAGUUGUUUUGCCACGCUCAUGGAAAACUCCAGGAGAAGUCGAGAACGUUCUGCUGCUGCGGUGGAUGUGUAGAGAGGGACUAAACAGACCCAAAUCCCUCAGCCUCUCCCCGGGCACUGGCACCUCCACGAGAAUAAGAACUAACCUCCCCUCCCCGGAGGAAAACAAGCCUCUUGCUGGGAAGAGCAGCCGGCCUCUGCCGCGAGGAUACAAGCUGCGAGGCUCUUCGGUGGGAAUUUAGCAUCACCCCGGCAGGUCCCUUGCUGAGGUUACU